GAGGGAAAAGGAGCAAUCCGCUUUGAGAUGGCCUCGCGUCCGAUUAGCUAGUUGGUGAGGUAACGGCCCACCAAGGCGACGAUCGGUAGCCGGACUGAGAGGUUGAACGGCCACAUUGGGACUGAGACACGGCCCAGACUCCUACGGGAGGCAGCAGUGGGGAAUAUUGCACAAUGGGGGAAACCCUGAUGCAGCGACGCCGCGUGGAGGAAGAAGGUCUUCGGAUUGUAAACUCCUGUUGUUGAGGAAGAUAAUGACGGUACUCAACAAGGAAGUGACGGCUAACUACGUGCCAGCAGCCGCGGUAAAACGUAGGUCACAAGCGUUGUCCGGAAUUACUGGGUGUAAAGGGAGCGCAGGCGGGAAGACAAGUUGGAAGUGAAAUCUAUGGGCUCAACCCAUAAACUGCUUUCAAAACUGUUUUUCUUGAGUAGUGCAGAGGUAGGCGGAAUUCCCGGUGUAGCGGUGGAAUGCGUAGAUAUCGGGAGGAACACCAGUGGCGAAGGCGGCCUACUGGGCACCAACUGACGCUGAGGCUCGAAAGUGUGGGUAGCAAACAGGAUUAGAUACCCUGGUAGUCCACACCGUA
rnacentral:rRNA from 1 species